UUGGCCUUGUGGUGGCUCUCAGUCUUCUUGGGCAGCAGCACCGCUUGGAUGUUGGGCAGAACGCCGCCCUGGGCGAUGGUCACACGGCCCAGCAGCUUGUUGAGUUCCUCAUCGUUCCGAAUGGCCAGCUGUAGGUGG
rnacentral:miRNA from 14 species